GUGAACGCUGGAGAGUCAGCACGCUCCGACUUGGGUCCACGGCACUGACCCGGGUGCGCACAGGCCUGCCUCCGUCCAAGUGGUGAACGUGGGCCGUGUGGCGCCAAGACACAGACGCAGCAAGGGAGUGAACUCAGGCCAUAGGGGAUGAGAAACAAUGAGAACUGGUUGAUCACUUCGAAUCUCAGGCUCCAUGUCAUCUGUCUCUUGACCUUGAGAGGCCUCCUGUCCUUACCAUCAUCACUGCUAUUAGCACACAUGUGUCCAGCCUCAGCAUUCCCAGGGCCAGGCACUCUCCCGUUACAGCACCUGCAAACAGGCACCCUUCCAGAAGCUGCGUGCUCAAUUCCAAGGGAAAGAAUUUCCUAGACAAAAAAUGACCUACCGCCCAUUGAGAGACAUGUUCAAAAGCAGCAAUUAGGGAAGACUGAAAAAUUCACAUGGGGAAAUAGCUGGAAGGUUUUUAUGGAAAACUCAGUUGGACUCAUAGAGUGGAACAUCGGUCACCUGUGAUAUUUAAAAAUUAGGCUGGGCUGUCUGAAUGCACAUUUCAGAAAUGCAGCUGCAGCUGCCCAGUGAAAAUAUUUAAAAUGUUGUCACCUUCCCAAACUGUCUCCAUAUAUCAAUAGCAUAUUCCUCACUCAUCUUUCAUACAUGUGUUCUAAGUUUUAAGAAAUUUUAUUAAAAAUAAAAUUUUUAUUUUUAAGUGGAUGUUGAGCCA
rnacentral:lncRNA from 12 species